AGCGAACGCUGGCGGCAGGCCUAACACAUGCAAGUCGAACGGACCCUUCGGGGUUAGUGGCGGACGGGUGAGUAACACGUGGGAACGUGCCUUUAGGUUCGGAAUAGCUCCUGGAAACGGGUGGUAAUGCCGAAUGUGCCCUUCGGGGGAAAGAUUUAUCGCCUUUAGAGCGGCCCGCGUCUGAUUAGCUAGUUGGUGAGGUAAAGGCUCACCAAGGCGACGAUCAGUAGCUGGUCUGAGAGGAUGACCAGCCACAUUGGGACUGAGACACGGCCCAAACUCCCACGGGAGGCAGCAGUGGGGAAUCUUGCGCAAUGGGCGAAAGCCUGACGCAGCCAUGCCGCGUGAAUGAUGAAGGUCUUAGGAUUGUAAAUUCUUUCACCGGGGACGAUAAUGACGGUACCCGGAGAAGAAGCCCCGGCUAACUUCGUGCCAGCCGCCGCAGUAAGAC
rnacentral:rRNA from 1 species